rnacentral:misc_RNA from 1 species
UCAAACUUGGUCAUUUAGAGGAAGUAAAAGUCGUAACAAGGUUUCCGUAGGUGAACCUGCGGAAGGAUCAUUACUGAGUGAUGGGUUUCUUUCACGAGAGCCCGAAUCUCCCAACCCUUUGUCUACUGAACCGAAUUUUUACUGAUGACGUCCCGUGGGCGCGAGCCUCCGGGGCCGAUUCUUUAAACACUCUUUGUUUAAAAAACAUUUUAACCAAACAAAAAACUUUCAACAACGGAUCUCUUGGUUCUGGCAUCGAUGAAGAACGCAGC